GAUGAACGCUGGCGGCGUGCCUAAUACAUGCAAGUCGAGCGAACAGAUGAGGAGCUUGCUCCUCUGACGUUAGCGGCGGACGGGUGAGUAACACGUGGAUAACCUACCUAUAAGACUGGGAUAACUUCGGGAAACCGGAGCUAAUACCGGAUAAUAUAUUGAACCGCAUGGUUCAAUAGUGAAAGACGGUUUUGCUGUCACUUAUAGAUGGAUCCGCGCCGCAUUAGCUAGUUGGUAAGGUAACGGCUUACCAAGGCAACGAUGCGUAGCCGACCUGAGAGGGUGAUCGGACACACUGGAACUGAGACACGGUCCAGACUCCUACGGGAGGCAGCAGUAGGGAAUCUUCCGCAAUGGGCGAAAGCCUGACGGAGCAACGCCGCGUGAGUGAUGAAGGUCUUCGGAUCGUAAAUCUCUGUUAUUAGGGAAGAACAAAUGUGUAAGUAACUAUGCACGUCUUGACGGUACCUAAUCAGAAAGCCACGGCUAACUACGUG
rnacentral:rRNA from 1 species